rnacentral:rRNA from 1 species
AUUGAACGCUGGCGGCAUGCUUUACACAUGCAAGUCGAACGGCAGCGCGGGGCAACCUGGCGGCGAGUGGCGAACGGGUGAGUAAUAUAUCGGAACGUACCCAGGAGUGGGGGAUAACGUAGCGAAAGUUACGCUAAUACCGCAUACGAUCUACGGAUGAAAGCGGGGGAUCUUCGGACCUCGCGCUCAUGGAGCGGCCGAUAUCUGAUUAGCUAGUUGGUGAGGUAAAGGCUCACCAAGGCGACGAUCAGUAGCUGGUCUGAGAGGACGACCAGCCACACUGGGACUGAGACACGGCCCAGACUCCUACGGGAGGCAGCAGUGGGGAAUUUUGGACAAUGGGCGCAAGCCUGAUCCAGCAAUGCCGCGUGAGUGAAGAAGGCCUUCGGGUUGUAAAGCUCUUUUGUCAGGGAAGAAACGGCUGCGGCUAAUAUCCGCGGCUAAUGACGGUACCUGAAGAAUAAGCACCGGCUAACUACGUGCCAGCAGCCGCCGUAACAC